GGACUUCCCUCCCUGCGCGCCAGAACUUUGCGUUGUUCUUAGUGGCAUCUGGGGUCGAGGAGGGCGACUGUCAGCCAGUUGGGGGAUGUUUUCUUCUUGGUCUCUCGGCUUCUGCUUCCCUGUGAGCUGGGCAGCCUCAGCCCAGGUCCUAUCCGGUACUCAGCUGGCCUCGGUGUGCACAGCGCAGGCUUGAGUGCAGCCGUGGGGGCGGGCGGGGCAGAAGCAGGGCCCCUGGGAACAGCUGAGUCUGAAGGGUCAGAAGCCACGGCCCCUGUGGGGGGCUCUGGGGCAGCCAGGGGAGCUGCUCGUUAGUCGUCUCUGGGGCAGAAGGAAGGGACCUUCACCUGGGUUGGGACUGGGCCUGGGUCCCCAGUCUCACAGGGAGCUCGUCCUGAUUGUACCUGCCCGGCUGUGACGGCUGAGCCCGGGCUCCUGGAGGCAAGGCCACCUCAGGCCUCCAGGGCCGGAGCCGCAAGGAGCUGCUGGGUUUCCACAGGGCCACGGGGGCUGCGGCCACACGGAGCGGGAGCACAGGUGGGGACACUGAAGCUGAGCUCACAGCCAGGAGAGGGACAGCAGAGUGACGGCCGAGACCAUCUGCACUGCGAGGGAAGCAGCGCCCACCUUCCUUGGUGGUCCGGGAAGGCCGGACCGGCCCCUUGGGUCCCCACUGGCCUCAGCCACUGUGGGCUCGUCCAGCUUCAGCUGCCAGGAGAGGCCAGGCCGAGGUCAGGAGGCUCAGCAGCUGGUUCCAUGACUUCCUCUUCGCUGAGGAGGUCAGGACAGAAGCUUCUAGAUGACAGGCCGCCCAACUUGGUAUAAAACAGCAAAUUUCUGUGCCUGUGCUGUCGGGCUGUGAAUGACUUCUCGUCUGUUUCAUGAGAUGCAGCUUCAGCCCAGGGAGCCAUCAGAUGCAGCCGGGCGAGACGCGGAGCCAAGAGCUGUCCUCGCCC
rnacentral:lncRNA from 10 species